AUCGAAAGAGUAACGACGGGAAUGGCUCUCCAUUCACUGAAACCACAUGCGCUCGUUACCCAGGCAAUCGAGGCAAUCAAUUUCCAGCGAAGCCUGCCUCCUCAUCCAGAACGAACUCCUUCUCUCCUGCUACAUUCUCAACUUCCAGCGACCUAUCAACGAAUCCCGCCUUUUCUCGAUUGCAUUCCUUCUCUCCUGAUGCAUUCUCAAAUUCCAGCGGCCUUCCAGCGAAGUCUGCCUCCUCAUCCAGAACGAACUCCUUCUCUCCUACUACAUAUUCUAAUUCCAGCGACCUUACAGCAAAUCCUUCUCUACCUGCUUACCUUCACAAUCUCCGUCCUCAAGUCCCAAAAAAUUCUGCGAAGUCACCAUGGCUGCCUUUUCGAAGUGUUC
rnacentral:lncRNA from 1 species